CAGUCUUGAGGAGAUCACAUUUCCAUCCCUACUUCAAUGAUUGCAUUGGUGCUAUUGAUGGUACACAUAUUCCAAUGACUAUCUCACCACAUGAACAAGAGCCAUAUCGAAACAGAAAGCAAACAAUCACACAAAAUGUUAUGGUUGCAUGUGACUUUGAUUUGAGAUGCGGGCUAUGCAAACACACCACAGUUUCUUGCCCCAUACCGUGGAACUAGAUACCAUUUGCAAGAACAAGCACAAGUACAUCAAAGGCCGCGGAAUCGUAGAGAACUAUUCAACCUUCGCCAUGCACAAUUACGGAAUCAUAUAGAGAGAAUUAUUGGCAUAGUGAAAAAGAGAUUUCCAGUUCUGAAAGUUGCUACACACUAUUCCCCCGGCAAACAAGUUGACAUAUCAAUGGCAUGUUGUGUCCUACAUAAUUUCAUUCGGCUUCAUGAUGGAGAUCUCUCAUGGCUCAACAAUGACACUCCAGAUAUUGACCCACAUCUAAUUGUGGACGUGCCCACGGGAGAUGAAAACUACACUAGUGAUGUUGGAGCAUUCAAUAACACAAGAGAAGCAGGAAACCACCUACGGGAUUAUAUAGCAGAUAAACUGUGGGAGGACUAUAUUGCAAGAAGAGCUUGAUAUAUGCAUUGUAACGUGUACCGCAAACAAAUGUAUGGCAAAAAAAUGUACUGCAAACCAAGAUUAUGGCAUGUCGAAAUUGUAAUAUUCAUUAAAGCAAAGUACUAGAUGCCAUGUUCGUUUUCUGCAACUACUACAUGCUUGCUCUUUCAUUUUCUGCAGCAAGUAGUUCUACCAAAAUAUUACCCAGCCACGUACUUCUACUCCCUAGUUCAGCUUUCUACUUCAAGUAAUUCUA